rnacentral:rRNA from 1 species
AAUCUUCCGCAAUGGACGCAAGUCUGACGGAGCAACGCCGCGUGCGUGAUGAAGGUUUUCGUAUCGUAAAACUCUGUUGUUAGAGAAGAACACGUACCGUUUGAAUAAGGCGGUACCUUGACGGUACCUAACGAGAAAUCCCCGGCUAACUACGUGCCAGCCGCCGAGGUAAUAAGUAGGGGGCAAGCGUUGGACGGAAGUAUUGGGCGUAAAGGGAGCGCAGGCGGUCUUUUAAGUCUGAUGUGAAAGCGCACGGCUCAACCGUGGAGGGUCAUUGGAAACUGGGAGACUUGAGUGUAGGAGAGGAAAGUGGAAUUCCACGUGUAGCGGUGAAAUGCGUAGAGAUGUGGAGGAACACCAGUGGCGAAGGCGACUUUCUGGCCUACAACUGACGCUGAGGCGCGAAAGCGUGGGUAGCGAACAG